GACGAACGCUGGCGGCGUGCUUAACACAUGCAAGUCGAACGAUGAAGCCCAGCUUGCUGGGUGGAUUAGUGGCGAACGGGUGAGUAACACGUGGGCAACCUGCCCCAAACUCUGGGAUAACUCCUCGAAAGAGGUGCUAAUACCGGACACGAACUAGGUAGACAUCUGCACUAGUUGGAAAGUUUUUCGGUUUGGGAUGGGCCCGCGGCAUAUCAGCUUGUUGGUGAGGUAACGGCUCACGAAGGCUACGACGGGGAACCGGACUGAGAGGGCGACCGGUCACACUGGGACUGAGACACGGCCCAGACUCCUAAGGGAGGCAGCAGUGGGGAAUAUUGCGCAAUGGGCGAAAGCCUGACGCAGCGACGCCGCGUGAGGGAUGAAGGUCUUCGGAUCGUAAACCUCUUUCAGUAGGAACGAAGCGAAAGUGACGGUACCUAAAGAAGAAGCACCGGCUAACUACGUGCCAGCCGCCGCCGUAA
rnacentral:rRNA from 1 species